AGUGAACGCUGGCGGUAGGCCUAACACAUGCAAGUCGAACGGCAGCACAGGAGAGCUUGCUCUCUGGGUGGCGAGUGGCGGACGGGUGAGGAAUACAUCGGAAUCUGCCCAGUCGUGGGGGAUAACGUAGGGAAACUUACGCUAAUACCGCAUACGACCUUCGGGUGAAAGAGGGGGAUCGCAAGACCUCUCGCGAUUGGAUGAGCCGAUGUCGGAUUAGCUAGUUGGCGGGGUAAUGGCCCACCAAGGCGACGAUCCGUAGCUGGUCUGAGAGGAUGAUCAGCCACACUGGAACUGAGACACGGUCCAGACUCCUACGGGAGGCAGCAGUGGGGAAUAUUGGACAAUGGGCGCAAGCCUGAUCCAGCCAUACCGCGUGGGUGAAGAAGGCCUUCGGGUUGUAAAGCCCUUUUGUUGGGAAAGAAAUCUUUAAGGCUAAUACCCUGGGAGGAUGACGGUACCCAAAGAAUAAGCACCGGCUAACUUCGUG
rnacentral:rRNA from 1 species